CCUACGGGUGGCAGCAGUGAGGAAUAUUGGUCAAUGGACGGAAGUCUGAACCAGCCAUGCCGCGUGCAGGAAGACGGCCCUAUGAGUUGUAAACUGCUUUUGUACAAGGGUAAACCUGAAUACGUGUAUUCAGCUGAAAGUACUGUACGAAUAAGGAUCGGCUAACUCCGUGCCAGCAGCCGCGGUAAUACGGAGGAUCCAAGCGUUAUCCGGAUUUAUUGGGUUUAAAGGGUGCGUAGGCGGAUUGCUAAGUUAGUGGUGAAAUGUUCCGGCUUAACUCGGGAACUGCCUCUAAUACUGUUGGUCUAGAGAGUAGAUGCGGUAGGCGGAAUUCAUGGUGUAGCGGUGAAAUGCUUAGAUAUCAGACAGAACACCGAUUGCGAAGGCAGCUUACUAAUCUAUAUCUGACGUUGAGGCACGAAAGCGUGGGGAGCAAACAGGAUUAGAUACCCCAGUAGUC
rnacentral:rRNA from 1 species